UGUAGAGCAGUGCAAUGGUUUGAGCACUGGACUAUGACUCUGGAGACCAGGGUUCAAGUCCCUGCUUGGCCA